rnacentral:rRNA from 1 species
UACGUAGGGUGCGAGCGUUAAUCGGAAUUACUGGGCGUAAAGCGUGCGCAGGCGGUUUUGUAAGCCAGGUGUGAAAUCCCCGGGCUCAACCUGGGAAUGGCAUUUGGGACUGCAAGGCUGGAGUGCGGCAGAGGAGACUGGAAUUCCUGGUGUAGCAGUGAAAUGCGCAGAUAUCAGGAGGAACACCGGUGGCGAAGGCGGUUCUCUGGGCCUGUACUGACGCUGAGGAGCGAAAGCGUGGGGAGCGAACAGG